UGUGCGGCGGGGUUGGCGGAGUGCUCCCUCCAAGACCGGUUGCACCCCGCUUUCCUGGCCAGGACUCUGGGUGCGGCAGCUACAAAGACGACGCCGGCUGCGCUCGCGGGACCAGAGGGAGGGAGGCUGCGGACGAGUGCGGGGAGGAGUUUGAGAUGGGAGGCGCUUGCAGGGGCUCCCCCAGUUCUGCGCUGUGAGCCGGGGCACAAAGAGCCCUCUGCACUCGCGCCGCAGGACCGCGGACCCGAGGAGACACAAUUUGGGAGGUGGACCCGCAGACCUUCUCGGCCCACCAGUUGGAGGCAUCUGUCUACCCAUGUGGUUCCAGACACGUUCAUGUGGCCACCGUGACCUGGUCGGCAUCACAGGAGUAACCAAGACAGCAGCAAGUUCCUGGGACUGAGGAGAGAGAAGGGAAUUUCCAGGUUCUUCAGGACGUUCACAACCACACUGGGAAGCAUCCUUGCAGAUAAGUAUUUAAACUUACCAGCCCAUAGUCUACCAGCCUGCCCUCUUCUGGUCUGUGCAGGGAAGUGUAGUAUCUUAGAAUACCAAAGUGGGAGGGGAAAUGGGUGAUGUAGCUCAUUCUCUUUUCUACCUCUAUGGAAGAAAGAAAGAGCCUGUCCCCAUUUUGUGGGGUCCCAGAACGGGUGAUUUUCACACUCCACAUUUGACAUUAGGGCUAGUAUUUUAUAAACAUCACCGUCUGGAACUUUUGAAGGCUGAGUUAAAUGACUUCAUCUUGUGUACUUGUAGAACUGCUAUUAGAAGGAGGCUGGGGACACCCGGAUGAUGUGAACCAGCUCUUCUCUUCUCAGUUUUAGCAUUUUGUGAUCAUAUUUAUAAACCUUGGCUAGGGCUCCUUGGCCUUACAGUUAAGUGAAGACUUAACACUGUGACUUUAGAUGUAUUUUUCUCAGUGCAAGUGUCUGAGUUCAUCUCCAGUUCUGGACUCGUGGCCCCCACUCCCAGGUGCUGACAGCAAGCUCUGAAGAUGUGCUGAGAGGGCUCCCUGACUCUCCUGACUCAGGUCUGCCAGUUGAUGAAGACAGCAUAGUUGUUACCAAAAGCAAAACCUGGCAGAUGGUCCUAGGUCAGGAUUAGUGGUCAUUCUCUGGUAUUCUCCAGACUGGUGACACAGGGUGGUCUUAAAAGAGUCCUACUCCAGCCUCUGGCUCCCCGAAUUUCCUCUGGUGCAUGGGGCAUCAGGAAAGGGCAGGGGAGAAGGAGGGGGAGCAGAAAAAUAACGGAGGCUGGGCAGAACAGCCCCUUCCAUUUCCCAUCCAUUGCUUCAAACAGUGGGUGAUUAUUGUGCACCUUGAGUGAAUGUCAAGGCAGGAAGGGUCCCAGGGCCACCCAGUGUGGCAGGAGCAGAGCUGGGAUCAGAAUUCUGGAUUCCUGACUCUCCGUUCAGCUGCAGUUCAGCUGUCACCAAGCUGCUGACUUUGUCCUACUUUCUCCCGGGUCGCAUUCUGCUGUUGUUGGGAAACAGGGAGUGAGUGAAGGGAACCCGGGAACCCCUCUCCCCUCACCUUUUAAGGAUGUUCUAGGGUGGAAUAAAGGGAGGUUGAGGGUGCGGUGCCUGGGCCCAGCCUCCCUGGCUCCUGGUCCUUCUUUCUUCGGCAGGGAGUUCUGGCAAGGCCUGGGCCUGGGGAGGGGCCUGGGUGCAGUUUUCUCCUGCGGUGUGGUUGGCUCUUUUGUCUUCCAGGAUGGGCCUGUGGGGUCUGUGUGGGAAAGGAAAGAGCUGGGAGCCUGGGCUGCCUGUGUGUCGGCUGGAUGCUGCCAGCGCCGGCAUGGACCAAGCAACUUCUCUGAGCCAGAUGCUGGGGACGCAGAGGUGAACCCAGAGACGUGAUCCCAUCUGCUCAGAUCUUCAUGUCAGAACACGCUUUAUUACAGUCUCGGCAAGGGGAUGGCUCCAUCUGGGCCGCAUCUGCGACUCCUGGCCUGGCCUUCUCUUUGGACCUCGGUGACCCUGGAUUCUGGCCACAGUGACUUAGUGGGCAGACUCCGGUGGUUUUCUAGCCCGCUGGGUGACUCCCUGAAGAUCUCGUCCUCUUCACAGCUGUUGGGAUGGAGCCUCCCGUGGAUAGGAACUCUUCCUGGUUGAUGCUCAGCAGACGACUGGAUCUGGCUCUGGAGGACGGCUCCAGGGGUAUGCGGGAGGCCUGGCAGCCCACUACUCCCUCCUCACCUGCUCGGGCCCUGCCUGCUGGGCCCUAUUGUCUGGGUCUGGGGACCCUUUCCUGACCCCAUGUGAACUUGAUUCCUCCUCGCGUUUCUGCCGGUGACCAGACAGAGCCUGGCCUGGGCCAAGGCCACACUGACCACAUUGUCCCCAAAUCUGCGUCUCAAAGGACCCUACAGGAUGGGGACAGGAACAGGGAUGGGAGUCGGGGAGGGGCUGUCAGGCAGAGGGCAGAUGCAGCUCCUCGGGUGGCGCUGGCUGGAGUCCUUUGUCUCCAUUUGCUCAGUGUGUAAUUGUCACUUUGUUGGUGGCUUCCUUGGUGGGGCUUUUCCAUGCUUUUCCUCUCCCUGAUGGUUACAAAGAGGAGACAGUCAGGAUCUGGGAGGAGCUGGAGCCUUCCCCCUGUGCUGUUGAACUCUGGGAGGGGCAGCUAGAGGGGCUGAGAGUGCACCAUCCUGAAAAGAGAGGGUCUUUAAGAGAUAAGAUCUAGGCUAGGGAAAUUCACUUGACAGAGACAGGUGGCCCUGGGUUUUUUUCCUGCCAUCCAAAGGGAACCAGUCUUACCCAAAGGCUUGAGGGGUCACCUUAGCCCAGUCUCAGGACACUCUUCUCUAAUCAGAUCGCUGCUUCUAGCUGCACUGCUCCUGGAUUCUGUUCUUGGGGAACAGAAGGUGGCAGGACAGGCCCCACAAUCUGCAAUUCCAGCUCCCUCCAGAGGGGACAGUCCCAGGGUUUGCAAGAGAGCAGCUUGUGGCCUCCCUUAGGCAAGUUUAAAAGCCAGAUGUCCUUUUUCCCAGAACGAGGAGUGGUGUGUACUAUUCAUCAGCUUGGGCUGCCACAGCACCAUGCCACAGACUGGAUGGCUUAAACAUCAGGAAUUUAUUUUCUCCCAGUUCUGGAGGCUGGAAAGUCCGGAUCAAGGUGUUAGAGCUGGUUUCUGGUGAGGCCUCUCUCCUUGGCCUGCAGGUGGCACCUUCUCGCUACGUCCUCACGUGGCCUUUUCUCUGGGGAGAGGGACAGAGAGCAUGAGCAGGCUCUGGUGUCUCCUCUUCUUAUAAAGACACUAAUACCACCAUAUUAGGGCUUAACCCUAUGACCUCAUUUAACCUUAACCCCUUAAAUGUCCCAUCUCCAAAAACAGUCACAUAGCAGGCUACUGCUUCAACAUAUGCAUUUGGGGGAGGGGACACCAUUCAGUCCUUAACAGGGUGGUCACCGCAAACAUGGAAAGUCAGAACCAUCUCCCCUUCAGAAUUCCCGCCCCCACCCAGGGAUGGGGAAGAGGAGCAGAGGUAUGGGAAGCAGACACGGAGAGUGGCAGGUACCAUGCUGGGGUGGCUCGGGAGUGCUUCGGAGGACAUAUGAAACUGUCAGGGCUCAGUGAAGGGAGGCGGAGCCCCUGGGAGAGCCGUGUCCUGAGAAGGGCCUGGGCUACAACCCUGGGCAAGUUACUUCACCUCUGAGCCUCCGCUGCUCUGUGAAAUGGAAGGCAUGUGCUCACCUGUCAGAUGCAGGGAGGAUUCUGUGAGAUUGUGUGCCUAGCACAGUGCCUGACUCCCAGCAGGUGCUCAGUAAAUGCUCCCAUCCAUCUGGGAGUAUAGACUUAGGGUUUAUGUUUUGUUUUGUUUUUUUUUUUCUCUUUUUGGCUCUCUGGACUUUAAAACUCAGCAUCUUCUGAACCAGAGGCAUUUCUGAUUAGCCCUUCCCUACCUAUUUUCCUAAUAUCACUCUAAUCAGCUUGGGGAGGUGGCAGCAUUUCAUGGCCUCCAUAGUAACUCACAAUGCUUCCUGGGGUAUUCUACUCUCUCAUCAGCACUGAGCACCUACUUUUGGGCCCUUUCCCCUGCUAGCCAUUUGGGGGAAAUACAGGUGAAGAGUGGCUGGGGUUCGAACCUUUAGGAUUUCACAGCCAUGCUGGAUGGGAUAAAACCAGCUCACAUGGAGAAUCAGAGAAUGGACAGUGCCAUAAAACAGUCUACUGAGGCACAAGCUCUGAGUGCCUGGGAAGUGGUAGAGAGACCCCAGAGAGGGCUGCUGCAGUCUGGAACAGCUUGCUAGCAAGCUGUACCAAACAGGGCCUUGAAGGAUGAGAAAGAUCUGGCUGAGAUGAUACCCGACCCUCUAGGGAAAUUCUUAAAGUAAGUUCUGGGAAAUGUCAUUGCUCCUUCGAAAAACAAACAAACAAACAAAAACACACAAAAAAAGCAGGUUCAAAUUCAAAUUCCGCUGCACUACUGAAGUAGUGCAGGACUUAUCAGAACCUUUAAAAUGCUAAUGGCAAUUUCAAAUACUCAGGGACAGGGCAUAGGAUGAAGUGUUCCUUGACUUUUAUGGCCGUAGAAUCCUUUUCUCAUGGAACAUCGUUUAGAACUGUGGGAGAUGCUAGGCUGGGGUUUCUAUGGGAAAAGUACAGCAGUGAUAGAAGAUGGUAUAAUUAGGGUACACUUAGGUGCUUUGUAGCAUUGGCUGAAAAGGAAGCAGAUCGGGAGUGCGUGGGGGAGUCUCAACUUGGUUCCAGGAGCCAGGCCAGCUUGAUGCAGGUUUUUUUUUUUUUCUAAUGGUGGGAGGGCAGGCCAAUAGUUGGAGCAACUAGAGGCCUGACAGUCGGUGAUGGAAGAGAUGUCUACUAAGCACGGUUGUCAGAUCUUUUGCGGAGAGAUGCUGGUGUGCGUGUGUCUAUGUCAGAGUGUAACAGGAUCCAGCCCUCUGGGAAGGGGCUGACCAGAACCAGGCAGGGGGUUUCUAUCCAGGACAAGUAGGGUCCAUUUUCAGGGGAGCUGAAAUAUUUGCAGGGGGUGCUCUGAGACCCACAGCCAAUAAACAGGGAAGCAACAUGCUUUUGGGCAGGGUCCAUGUGGUUAGGGUUGAUUUUGAUGGGGCUGGGGGGCUUAGAGGUAGACCCCCUGCCCUGGUCAGGCCCCACUCCCUGGCUGGUGGGGGCGGGAGGCCUCUGAAGCUGCAGCUGGAGGGGCCGGGGCAGUGUUGCAUGGUGUGAUUAACCUACUAACCCAGGGCUCAGCCGGGACGCUGUGGCGUGUGACGAGGUGCCUGGCCUUCCGCCAACCAACUAACCCACUAACCAGGCCCGAGCAUGCCCUACUAACCACCCCCCCCGCAGCCAGAUCCUACUAACCGUGCAGCUCAUGGGCCUUUCAAGGGGCUGGGAUAAGGGGGCAGCCCAGGCUCCAGAAGGCUCUGCCUAUGGGCUGGGAUCUUUGUGCAGACCCACGUUCCAGGACAGAGAAUGCAAAUAAGACUCACCGACUCUGCCACUUCCUGUUGAGUGAGUUUGAGUAAGUCACCUCACUUCUCUCCACCUCAGUUUCCUCAGUGGUAGAAUGCGAGUUCUGAUACCUUACAGGUUGCAGUGAGGAUUCCCGUGAAUAUAAGGGUCUCGGCACAUGGCAGAUACUUUAAAAAAAAGUAUGAGGAUGGAGGAAGGCCCCUCAAACCUGGUUGAACACGUCUGCUGCCUAGGCCCUGGCCUCUCUGGGUGUUCUGCACACAGAUCCUUCUGCCUGGGGCAAGACACUUGCUUUGAAUCCCUGUCACUUCCCCACAUUCUUCCUCCGUCUCAGCUUUCUUUUCUGUAGGCAGCUCUUUUGUUCGAUUACUAACCCGUCUAACUCCUGGGGUGCCUCAAGUGCACCCCGAUCAUCCCUUAACAAACUAACGGACCUGCGUGCGUUCUUCCUUUUCUCUUAGCGACUCCUGUUUGUGUCUGCUGAGGUGCCCUGUCCGCUGGUGCUGUGCUCUGACUUACUAACCCAGCCCCUACUAACCCUGUUUUCUCUUCUUACUAACCCCAGCCCUGCCGAGCUCUGGGCUCCCCCCGGGGGCUGGUCCCCCUCCUUUUGGCAAGCAGAUGACUUGGGGCUACUGGCCCUGUAGACAGAUGUCCCACUUUGCUGCCCCAUAUUGGCUAUUUGUAAGAUCACAGUCCACUGGGCCAGGUCUAAGGCAGGGGAUGGCCCUAUUAACAAGACUCAGAGGAGGAAGAGGUGGUCCUGUGGAUGGGGGAGGCUGGACUCUGAGUAUGACAUCUCUCCUAUGUGCAGAAGUCUGGUUGCCACUGGGAGUAGGUGGGACCAGGGAAACCUCUAGGACGUGAGUGUGGAGGCCUGUGGGUCUAGGCUCUAGACUGUGGAGCUCUGAGCUUUUGUGUCCUUCUCUGGAAGGAAGCUGGGGAAGAAUCUUCUCCAUUGUUAAGUGACAGGGAUAGAAGCUGUCCUGCACAGGAAGUCACGAGGGGGGCGUAUCCCACGAGGAAGGCAGAAGCCGGUGCCCGUCACCGGAAAUUAGCAGAGGGGCGUGUCCCACACCGGAAAUCAGAAAAGUGGAGCCUUUCUUACACCGGAAGUCAAUGAAGCGGGUCUUUCCCACGCUAAAAUCCACUGAGUGGAGUAUUUAGUACACAGGAAGUAGGCCAGAGAAACAGUUCUCAUAUUUGAAGGCCGGGAAGAGGGACAUUUCUGACACCGGAAGUCAGUGAGAAUGCUCUUUCCCACACAGGAAGUCAGCUAGAGAGCCCUCUCCCCUCUCUGGAGCUGAGAGAGGCUGGUUUCCCCCACCGGAAGUAGACAUAGGGCCGUGACCGGAAGUCAUUGGGAAAGAUCCGUCCCACUCCCGGAAGCUAGAGGGCGUUAGUUGUCGGGUUGAAAAGGAGGGUGGGGAGGUGAAGCAGCUUUACCCCAGGCUCGGAGUUUGCAGGAGAGAGAAGUGGGGAGCAAGAAAUGAACUUCAGGGGCUCACAGGGUUCCCACAGAUGCUCAGGCCGGCCAGGAAUGCAUCUCUGGCUCUCUGUUCCCACCCACGUCACUGCCUCAGCCAGCCUCCCCCAGAGCCCGCCAGCCGCUAAGCCGGGGCCACACCUGGGGGUGAUUUCAUGCCUCACCUCCAGUAGGCACCUUGGUUUCUUUGGGCUAAUCUCUGGCUCCCUUGCACUAACUCUUGCUCUCACCCAGCUAAUCCCUGCCUCACCCUGACUGCCCCAGGGGCUGACCACUAACAACCAACCUGGCCUGUCUGGGGGUUCCAGGCUCCUGGCCUGGCCUUACAGGCUCUUAAUUAACCUUUCCUUUACCUUGACUAACUCCUGCCUUCCUGGUCUGUUCCUUUCAGCAGAAACUAAUGGCUUGUGGAUUUUUUUCUCACUAACAACAGGUCUAACAUUCCUUGUUACUGUUAACGGCUUGGAUGUUGGCAUGGCUGGGAAGGGGCUAACACAGGUUUGAACUUGACUAACACAGGGAAAAGUGUAGCUAAGAAUUUUGGACGUGGUGGCUGCUCUGAGUCAGAGCAAUCAGAAGUCAGUAAAGAUGGUAGUUUUCUAAAGGAGGUGCUAGGGCUCUGGUGUGGAUCAGGCCUGAUGGAACAGUGGUACCUACCAAGGUGGGGUCACUAGGGCUCUGGUGUGGAUCAGGCCUGAUGGAAUAGUGGUACCUACCAAGGUGGGGUCAGAAGUAUAGCCAGUCUUGCAAGGUUUUGGCCAUUGGGCAUAUCUUCACUCCUCAUAAUCUGCAUUUGGUUUCAGUUCUUUAAAAAAUAUAGCCUUAUAGCUACAAUAGUUUGCACAAGUAGAUGCAGCUCGUAUAAACCUUAAAAUACCUGGCUGGUGUCUACAGAGCAUAUGCCAUUUUGUAUAGAGUCACCCGUCCCCAGGCCAGGGUCUAGAGUCUUCAUUUUGGGGACUUUGUGUUUUGGAAAUUCUAGGACCUAAAGCUUUAGAUCAGAGUAUUCAGAAGGGUUAUAACUCCAUCAGUCAUUUACAUGUUAGUAGUAUAAAUUAACUGAGCUUCCUCUUCUAACUUUUAGCUCUUCUAGCAUAAACUCUUCUGUGCAAUUUAGCUGCACCGAGGAAACGGGAGUUUUUCUGGAACGGACUUUUGAUCUCUUUAGACUGAGGGAACGUCCUUUGGGAGUAGAGGGGCAGGGAGCAUACACCAGGGAUUCCAGGUGCGGGUAAAAGGUGGCACUAGUUCAUGGUUUUGCUGACUCAGUCUGGUAGUCAGAGUCUGCAGGAGAAGACAACUCAAGGCAGGGCCUGGAGGAUUGGAUCAGUUUAGGGACAGGUCAAAGGCUGGCUUAGAGACCUUAGAGGCAGGUUGCUUGGGUCGUUGAAUGCUAGUCUGGUGCUGAGAGCCUUUUCUCCGGCAACUGUGGACUCAGCUAACCAAUUGUAGUUGGCAGUGGGGGCUGAAGGGUGAUCCAGAGGCCUGAGCUGCAGAGGGCACAAGAGAGAAAAGAUGUUUUAGGAAGAGCUUUGAGAACAUGCCUUGGCUGCUGGCAGGGACCUUGGAUGGGGUAGUCUACACCCGGAAGUGCCUGCCUGCCAUCCUCUAGUGGCUGCCUUACUCCAUUUCACUCAAAGCAGGAAGCUCAGAAACAUCUCCUAUUCCGGAAACUCCUCUUUGUUUAACUGCAAAGAUUUGAUGCUGCUAAGGAUCUAUUAUGUGCCAGGCACUACUCUGGGCGCUGGGACCUGCACCUGGGCUUUGUCGUCAUGGUGCUUUUAUAGCCUAGUGGGAGAGUUGGUGAAGUAGAUAGUGAUUCAGUGAGAUGGGUGUUAUGAUGGGUCAGGGGUCUGUGGGAGCACCAAGGAGACAGACAAGAUUGAUGUGCACCUACUCUGUGCCAGGCGUGUGCCAGGUAUUGGGGACGUAGUGACAGUUAAACACCAUUUGGUCUUCAGGAGCUUUAAUUCUAAUGUGUUGUGUGGGUACAGGGGGGUGGAAUGGGGACAGAGAGACACCUAAUCCACCCUGUGGUGGCUUUCUGGAGAGGGAGGCAUCUAAGCUGAGCUGUGGCUGGGUGGAGUGUGGGUGGGGAUGAGUUCCAGGCAGCCAGAGUGGUGGACACCAGUUUCUGGGGAUCAGAGAGGAUCCAAAGAGGUUCUGGAAGGUUCAUGUGGAAUGUAGCAAGAGAUAGAGGACAUGGACAUGGUGCCGGGUCUGGUUGCUAAGGAGUUUAGAUUUUAUCCUUAGGCCUUGGGGAGCCAUGGAUAUGAUCUGAGAAAGGGAGUUAGUGGAUUUGAGUUUUAGGCUGGCCAUUUGGCUUUUCCAGCCCAGGUGGAACUCAGAGGAGUUUGCAAUGGGCUCUGGCCACGUUUUAGACAACUGAGCAGAACUUUUUGAACUAGGAAGACCCUUUGGUCCACCUUUUGAUAAACAGAAUCCAUACGUGUCUACCUUAGUUGGAAGUAUCUCUGCAACGACUGGAAAUUAAAGAGGACCAAGGUGAAAAUAAAGGCUCGGAAGGGGGGCAAUCUUGAAAACAUGUCAUCCCAUGGUGGUGGGAAGCCCGUGGAGAAGAUCAGGGGAAACACAGUCAUAGGCUGCAAGUCUACAAGAGAAUUCCAUUGGGGAGGGAGCCCAUUUGUCAUGCGUGGCUGCAAGGGGCAGAUACAAGCAUGGAGUAAGCUCGCAAAAGCUGAUCCUGGUCCCAGAGAGGGAAAAAUAUGCCUCGGUGGGUAAUGAACCUUUUGUUCCCAGAGGCAGAAGGAUUGGGACUAGGCCAACAUAGAGAUUGGUGAUGGUUGUGAGAGUCUAAGAGUGUGUGUGCAUCUUGACAAUAUUAGAGGAGGCUGAGCCCAAGCAGGCACAUUCUCUUCACCCCUCCCUCAUUCAGUCUGCUUUUGAGUCUACUGAACAUCAGGCUUGCUAUGAGCAGGAUCUUAGAGCUGAGGAAUUGGCCUCCCAGUCUGAACAGGUGUUGCAAUCCUUUCUUAAUAGGCUGUGCUGUGGACCCAAUGUGAGGGCCGUGCUUGUGUAAAUGGUGACAUAUUGAGCUGGGGGAUGCUUUCGGGUUGGGGGGGGACUGGUUCCAUUCCAACAAAGGCCCUCUUGAGAGUCUAUCCAGGGACCCAUUGUUUUACUUUAACAGACCAGAAAAGAUGUUUGUUUUCCAUGUCAUUACCCCCAGGGGAUGCCGAAUGUGUGGGUAGAAAUUUCUCUGUAGAUUAAAAAUCAGAUUUUUACAUGGAUUCAGCAAAGGAAUGUCACUUGGAUUUUUGUUUUCAUCCAUGAACGUAGCUGCUUCUGUGUAAAAUGCCAUUUUGCUAUUAAAAAUCAAUUCACACUGGAAA